rnacentral:tRNA from 1 species
GGCGCUAUAGUGUAGUGGCAGCACAUGGGAUUCUGAUGUCAGCUAGGAAUAUGUAUUCCCAUAACCCAGGUUCGACCCCUGGUAGUGCCU